rnacentral:rRNA from 1 species
CAGCGCCACGAGUGGCAAUCAUGAUUAUUGGGCCUAAAGCGUCCGUAGCCGGUUUAUUAAAUCUUUUGUGAAAUUGUUAAGCCAAACUUAACAAAUGGCAGAAGACACUGAUAAACUUGGGACCGGGAGGGGUUAGGAGUAUUUUGAGGGGAGCGGUAAAAUGUGAUAAUCCUCAAAAGACUACCGGUGGCGAAGGCGCCUAACCAGAACGGAUCCGACGGUGAGGGACGAAAGCCAGGGGAGCAAACCGGAUUAGAUACCCGUGUAGUCC